GAAACUGGAAGUUGGUGGCAUGUCUCUGCGUCUAUAAGAAGGCCAGCUCUGGGUCAGGGGCAGUGAGGAGCCGUCAGUGACAUUGUGGCUGUAAAUCCCUCAAACUAUUAGGUAGGCAGAGUGUUAAUCAGUCAGCUGUGUAGAGAUGGUGAAUAUGGCAGGUUGGGUGUUUCUGUCUGCGGUCCUGCUGCUGAAUGCUGUUGCAGCCGAUUUAGAGGAUCCAAAGACACUGCAGCAACUCAACAUUCCACUUGGCAACUGCAAGUUGAAGAGAUUAAUUUGUGCUGGUAAACCUGGAAAACUUUUUUAUAAGGGAGACUCAGGUGGGCCUCUGAUGUGUUACCUUAGAAAGAGCUGGAUUCAGGCUGGAAUUGCGAACUUUGUAACAGAUUGCAAUGCGAAAGUCUUCCCAGCAUACUUUGCCAAUGUCCCCGACUACCUAACUUUUAUCAACAAACAUACCCUUCCCUCCACACAAGAAUACUGAAACCUAAAACCAUACCUGCCUAGUGCUAAUGAUUUUGAAUGCCUGCACAUAUACCACCAUCUUUUUCCUCAACUCCAUUUCUUGAAUUCAUCAUUUCAUUUUUUCUGUCCAGUUCUAAUCUCUAACCCUUCCUACUUUCACUGUCAAUUGCAAAUGACAGAAAACACUUUGCUAUCAUCAGGAAAAAAAAUAAUAA